ACGAAGAAGGACGGAGAUUAAAAGGAGUGGUUAGAGAAGCGAUGGCUGAAGGAAGAGGGGGGGGUCGAAGGAGCGAGAGCACAGAGGGGGUAGGGGACCCGAGAGCAACGGGGGGAAAAGAGCAACGACGAAGGCAGUAGCGAACAGCCUAAUGAGCUAGUGACAGACGUCUGAAUUGAAGUGCCGAGAGGCCAGUUUCCACACACACACACA
ensembl:ncRNA F54E4.5 ncRNA